rnacentral:pre_miRNA from 1 species
GUCUAGAAAGGUCCGAGAGCCUAUCCCGGAACGCUAUCGGUUGCACUUUUCAAAAAACCGAGCUGCCCGGGGAUAGACUCUUGGCUUCAGAAAGAC